rnacentral:rRNA from 1 species
ACUGGGAUAACCCUGGGAAACUGGGGAUAAUACCGGAUGGGCAAUUUUUCCUGGAAUGGUUUUUUGUUUAAAUGUUUUUUCGCCUAAGGAUGGGUCUGCGGCCGAUUAGGUAGUUGGUUAGGUAACGGCUUACCAAGCCAUUGAUCGGUACGGGUUGUGAGAGCAAGAGCCCGGAGAUGGAACCUGAGACAAGGUUCCAGGCCCUACGGGGUGCAGCAGGCGCGAAACCUCCGCAAUGUGAGAAAUCGCGACGGGGGGAUCCCAAGUGCCAUUCCUAACGGGAUGGCUUUUCAUUAGUGUAAAGAGCUUUUGGAAUAAGGGCUGGGCAAGACCGGUGCCAGCCGCCGCGGUAACACCGGCAGCUCUAGUGGUAGCAGUUUUUAUUGGGCCUAAAGCGUCCGUAGCCGGUUUAAUAAGUCUCUGGUGAAAUCCUGUAGCUUAACUGUGGGAAUUGCUGGAGAUACUAUUAGACUUGAGACCGGGAGAGGUUAGAGGUACUCCCAGGGUAGAGGUGAAAUUCUGUAAUCCUGGGAGGACCGCCUGUUGCGAAGGCGUCUAACUGGAACGGUUCUGACGGUGAGGGACGAAAGUUAGGGGCGCGAACCGGAUUAGAUACCCGGGUAGUCCUAACUGUAAACGAUGCGGACUUGGUGUUGGGGUGGCUUUGAGCUGCUCCAGUGCCGAAGGGAAGCUGUUAAGUCCGCCGCCUGGGAAGUACGGUCGCAAGACUGAAACUUAA